CCCGAUUUCUGAGUACGCCCUGCUUGGCUCUUUGGAAGAUGGUGAAAAAAGUCUGUCCUUGCAACCAGCUCUGUAUGUGCCCUCCAGCAGAGCCGAAAUCAG